UGUGAAAUGCAUUGCUUAGGAUACAGAGCAUUGCACAAUUAAAAGCCAUUGGAAUCAGCAAUGGACAAUGCAGAAUUAGCUUAAGUUAAUGGCAUGCAAAUAAAGAGGUUGCAGCACCUAGAAUGAUUAAAAAUGACUGCAUUCAAUUGAAAUAUAUAUAGCAGAUCAAUAUAAAUAAUCACAGAAAACACUCAACUAAUUCAUUCACAGCAUCAAGGUAAUAUCUUAAAGCUGAUUGAUAUCACCCACUGCUGCUCAGAACUACAGUCACACAUGAAACACUGACUGGUUUAAUAUUACAGCUGUCUGACACCGAUAAACCUUAUUGUGAGUGAGAGCAUCCUUGUCACAGUCAUAAGACCUUACCUCGCUGUUCAGUGCUAAUAGAGAGCUGAUUUAAAAGGGAGAAUAUAGAAACUAGGACCCUGAAGGAAAGCUAUACAGAACAUGAGGUUAGUAAAAUCUGUAUCAAUCUGGAGGCUUAUCUGACGCAAAUUGGCUUGCUGCAGUUGUAAUACUGAUCAGGAGGGUUCACCUUGGUGCUGUGUGUGCGUGUGUGUGUUUAGAACAACACGUUAAUCUGGUUACAGAGCUCCCAUUGUGCAGACUGUGCCGAUAAACAGCCUUGGCAAGCCCAGGCUUGAAGAUUGAGAUUCUAACUCUCAUAGGUGGAGCAGUGCACUUUUUACUGACAGCAGGGAAAAGUUAUUCAUCUCCACUAGUUUUGCUUUUAUUUUAGGAAAAUGCCUACAGAUUUCAAUGGAUAUUGGAAGAUGCUCAGUAAUGACAACUUUGAGGAGUACUUGAAAGCACUGGACUUAAGUGUUGCAAUUAGGAAAAUCGCUACCUUGCUGAAACCCGAUAAAGACGUCAUCCAGAAUGGAGAUCACAUGAUCAUUAAAACUCUCAGCACCUUUAAAAAUUACGUCAUGGAUUUCGAGGUCGGGAAGGAGUUCGAAGAGGAUCUGUCGGGGGUGGAUGAUCGUAAAUGCAUGACCACAGUGACCUGGGAAGGAGAUAAGCUUGUGUGUGUGCAGAAAGGAGAGAAACCAGGAAGAGGCUGGACUCAGUGGGUGGAAGGAGAUGAAAUGCACCUGGAAAUAAGGGUUAAUGGAGUAGUAUGCAAACAAGUCUUCAAGAAGGUGCAGCAAUGAGACUUUGUACAAAACUGGAGCAAAUGUGGAGAUAACUGCAGGAACAGGGAGGAAAUCUUGACAAUCCCAGCAAAACACAUAUCCUCAAGAUCAGACAAGGAAAAAUGGCAUGGCUUCAACUUCUUAAAGACUGUACUGUCGGAAAUGGACUUUCUCCAUAUUCAACAUGCCUCUGUUUAGUAGCUUAUUCCAACUAAUGUACUGAGCAAGGAAAAACGAUGCAGUCUGUUUUAUUUUCUGGUACUGUAUUGUAAAGGUCUACUUUUCCAGUGGCAUUAGCUUCACUAUCCUCAAUAACUUCAGUUGUAACCGGCUUCUUUUUUUGGAAUUUGUUACAUGACUGUGCACAAUUUCUGAAUAAAAGGAAUCAAAAGCAACCAGACUAUGCAGACUUUGCUUGAAGAUUUUAUUUUAAAAGGGGUAAUCGAUUUCGACCUAGACUGUGUCUGGACAUCAAAACACUUCAGAGACGGGAAGAAGACAGCAAGACAAAUAGAGUUCAGCCAGGAGCUCACAGACUCAACCAAACAAGACUACUUGAUUCUGGCCUCAUGGGGAAAACCUGAUGGGCUUUUCUCAUCAGGGGGUAAUUGUUCUGUACUGUGAUUCUUAGACAAGGUUUUAGCAUCUGGUCUCAUUAGAUUUUGAGGUUAAAGAAUGAACUCUUCAAACUGAUUGCGAUUCUAGAUAGCGGUAAUAAAUCUCAUUGAUCUUUGGUGAGGCUCGAUGCCACGCAUUGCUUUCACCUUUACCCUAUCCUGUUACACAGUGAAACUGUAAUACAAGGGAGGCGGGACGUC